rnacentral:rRNA from 1 species
AACGAACGCUGGCGGCAGGCCUAACACAUGCAAGUCGAGCGCGCCUUCGGGUGAGCGGCGGACGGGUGAGUAACGCGUGGGAAUAUGCCCUUCUCUACGGAAUAGUCCUGGGAAACUGGGGGUAAUACCGUAUACGCCCUUUGGGGGAAAGAUUUAUCGGGGAAGGAUUAGCCCGCGUUGGAUUAGGUAGGUGGUGGGGUAAUGGCCUACCAAGCCGACGAUCCAUAGCUGGUUUGAGAGGAUGAUCAGCCACACUGGGACUGAGACACGGCCCAGACUCCUACGGGAGGCAGCAGUGGGGAAUCUUAGACAAUGGGGGCAACCCUGAUCUAGCCAUGCCGCGUGAGUGAUGAAGGCCUUAGGGUUGUAAAGCUCUUUCAGCUGGGAAGAUAAUGACGGUACCAGCAGAAGAAGCCCCGGCUAACUCCGUG